rnacentral:lncRNA from 1 species
UCUGACUAGGAACCAUUAGGUUGCGGGUUCAAUCCCUGGCCUUGCUCAGUGGAUUAAGGAUCCGGCGUUGCUGUGAGCUGUGGUAUAGGUGGCAGACACAGCUUGGAUCUGACGUUGCUAUGACUUUGCCGUAGGCCGGUGGCAACAGCUCAGAUUAGACCCCUAGACUGGGAAUCUCCAUAUGCCUUGGGUGCCGCCCUAAAAACAAACAAACAAACAAAAAACCUUUGAUAUUCAAUGAAUUUAAUUCAAAUAAAUUAAUUUACUUACUUAUUAUAAAUUUAUUACAUUAUAUUCCUAAUAUAUGUAACAGUAAUGGGGCAUGGACUAAGAUCAAAUUAUAACUUAAAUUAUAUGUAGUUUGGACACUAUUUUCUUAUUUCUUAGGAAAUGUAAUAUUAAAAUGAAUAAUUAUAUUUUAUCAUUUUAGCAUGAUUUGCCCCCAGUUGUCUGUUUUUUGAUAGUCUUGUCUAGGUCACUUAUCCAUAAAAAAUCAAAGUUACUCUUAUUUUAGGUAUGUGUGUAUAUGUGCUUGUUUUCUAGAUUUGAAAUAGAUAUAAAUAUUUUAUAAUUUUUACCAGGAUAAGCUGAAAUAGUUAAUGGGUCUAGCUAAGGAAUUCAUGAAUGCUGAUACAUUGUUCCUGUUCUAAAAUGUUUCAAAAAUAAAUUAUCUCCUUUUCCUUAGGCCCACAAAGCCAUUUAAACUUUCAUAAUUAUUAUUAGCACCAUAGCUCUGCCUUCAGUAUUAAACUUCUAAGUGUUAAAAUAAAAUUCACAUUAGAAAUUCCAAAUUAUGAGAGAGAGUAGAAUUUACCUUAACAAUUUAAUAGUUGUGAAUUUUUAAAAUUAGUCUUUCCUUUUUAAAAAAUUUUUUUAUUCAAGUAUAGUUGAUUUACAAUAUUCCUUCAAUUUCUGCUGUGCAUACAUUCUAUAUAUAUUCUUUUUAUUUUUCAUACUACCUUCCAUCAUGUUCUAACCCAAGAGACUGGACAUAGUUCCCUGUGUUGUAUAAUAGGACCCCAUUGUUAUCCAUUCUAAAUGUAAUAGUUUGCAUUAAUAGUUGUGAAUUUGAGUAAUGCUCUGUAUAAACCCGAAAAAAGAAGGGUUUACAUGUAUCCACAUGAAACAUGAGUCUAUAGUUAUCCAGCCUGUGUCCAAGUCUUAGGAAAUUUUAUAGUUUAGCUUGUAUAGAAUUUGAUCAAUUAAGUAGGAAAAAAUGGAAGUGCUCUUAAAGCAGAAUGGAAACAAAUUUAGGUGAUGUGCAAUAUGCUGAAAGCCAUGUGUUUCUGCAACUGAGUUACCUGCUUAUUGCUUCCCCACACAAUGUGAUUUGGGGGUUACCUUACUCUGUUGCCUACCCUUGCAGCUGAUAAAAAAGGAAAGACAGAGUCAUACCAAAUAUUUCUCUGUGUUGAGAUAUUUUUAUAUCUUCACAACUAACUAACUUGCCAGCUGAUUCUCCAGCUGCUCAAGUAUAAGAUGAACAUAUUCAAAGGAAUCUCAUUGCUCAAAAACUAAAAUACUCAGAAGAACCUGAUUUUGGCAUCUCUAUAGAUUCAGAACACUUGUAACUUCCUUCUAAUGAGCAAGUGACCGAAAUCUACAUGAAUGAGAUGUGAGAAAGGAGAGGGAAAAGAAAAAGCAAUAAUGAAGUGAAUCAAACAAAUAACCUGGAACUUCAAAAAUAAAAUACCAAAAUUCCUUUUGGUAGUUCAAAUGAGUUCUUCCAGUUCCAAAAUGAAGAGCACUUAAAUUCCAUGCAAAUAAGCAUUGCCUUCAAAAUUCUAGGCAUUCUUAAUCUUGGCUUCCUCUGAGCUGAUGAUAACUUGAAGAGAUCAGCAAUUUUUCCACCAGUCUUCUAAAUUGUGCAUUUUUAUCAUAACUAGACUAUAGAAGAAAGAAGAAACUAAUGACAUCAGUAAAUUGCAUAAUGCUCCUAUUUAAGUCAGUGACAUACAGAGCACAUUUGACACCUGGAGCAGAUCAUUUUUAACACCCCCAUUCUAAACAACAAAAUUAUUUUCAGCAACAACCAUAAAGUGAAAUGAAUAAUAACAGUGAUGAGGAUGAUGUCUGGGGUGGGGAAAGAGAUGUAGUGAUAAUUUUCUUCCAUUGAACUUUGAGUAUAUAUUCAUGUCAAUAAAAAUGAUUAAUAAAAUAAAUAUUCUAACACCAAGAAAAAGAAAAAAGUAAUUGAUUUAUACUUUUAAUCCAUGCUGACAUAUUUUUAGGAAAAAAAUUCUUUUAAAUCUCUAAAUUUUAAAAUUUUCAACACAGAUAAAAUUUCCUAGUAGUCAUUUAGAAGACAAGAAGAAGAGAUUGCAGCAACUCCAGUUCUGUGUCACUAUCAUUAUCUCUCAAUGCUAUCAUUGGUGAUUUCGGAUCUAUUAUUUAAACACAGGAAUAUGUCAUAGCGCAGGAGUUGGAGACAUCAACUGCACUUGAAAACAGAUUAAACAAUUUGAGAGGUGUUGCAAUAUUACUCUUGAAUUUGGUCUUGGAAUGACCAUAGACAGUUGAGUUUCCAUGAAUCUGAGCUGACCAUGUAACAUUAGGUUCUCUGAAUUAUUUUCCAUGUAGAAUAAAGUGUUUAUUAAAGAAUAAAUAGGUGUUCCUGCUAUGGCGCAGUUGGUUAAGAACCUGAUUGCAGUGGCUGGGAUCACUGCAGAGGUUCCAGUUUGAUCUCUGGCCCAGUGCAGUGGGUUAAAGGAUCCAGCAUUGCUAUAGCUGUGGCAUAGGUCACAGAUGUGGCUCAGACUAAAUCACUAGCCUGGGAACUUCCGUAUGCCAUGGGUGCAGCCAUAAAAAGAAGAAAAAAAAA